rnacentral:rRNA from 1 species
CCCUAUGGGGUGCAGCAGACUUGGUAAAAAAAUAUAAUUCGGGGAUUGUAGUUGAAAAUAAUAGUGUAGAUGGUAUGGUAAAUGGAAUUAAUCAGUUUAAAAAUUUGGAUGCAGCAGAACUAAAAAGAAUGGGUCAAAAUUCAAGAAAAUUGGCUGAAAAUGAAUUCGAUUGGAAAUUAGUGGGUGAAAAUUUGUUAAAAUCAUUAGAAAAAUUUCAAUAAAAAAAAUAAUUAAUAUUACGAAUUGUUACUUUUAAAUAAUUAAAAUAAGGUAUUUUGUGUUGAUAUAACUAGUAUGAAGACAUUGUCACACAGAUAUAAUAAAUAUUAAGGUAUUAACACCCUUGAUCCGCCAUUAUCAUAAAUUCUUGAUUUCCAUUCUUUUAAGAAUAUAUUGCUGCUGGUGGAAUUGGCGGGAGGGC